rnacentral:rRNA from 1 species
GACAGAGGGUGCAAACGUUGUUCGGAAUUACUGGGCGUAAAGCGCGUGUAGGCGGCCAACUAAGUCGGGCGUGAAAUCCCACGGCUCAACCGUGGAAGUGCACUCGAAACUGGAUGGCUAGAGUCCUGGAGAGGAAGGUGGAAUGCUUGGUGUAGAGGUGAAAUUCGUAGAUAUCAAGCGGAACACCGGUGGCGAAGGCGGCCUUCUGGGACAGUGACUGACGCUGAGACGCGAAAGCGUGGGGAGCAAACAGG